UCUUUCGGGAAAUGCAGUUUUUAGCCUGGCGGAUAACUGAAAAGGAGUUUGCACAGGUGCCGGUGCAAUCUAAGGACCCGGGUGGGUCAACAGAAAGUCUCACAACAUGUAUGGAGUGAGGCCGUGUCUGGAGAAGCCUCCACGAAGAAGAAGGGUCAGAAUCACUUGCACCAGACUAGGAGGUCACUGUCUAGUGGGAGAGAAGGCUCUUCUGGACUCUGCUCACUUCCUGCCCGCCCUGCCCCAAAGGCUUCCAAGCUGGGGCAAAGUUGGCAUCUGCUGCCACCCCAAGUGAAUGUGCAUUUCUGAUCAGCCAGAUACCCGGAUAAACAUGAGUGGUUGUGGUCCAGCCCAAAGCAAACAGACU
ensembl:processed_transcript Gm13778 predicted gene 13778